rnacentral:rRNA from 1 species
GUUAAACGGCCGCGGUAUUUUGACCGUGCAAAGGUAGCGCAAUCACUUGUCUUUUAAAUGAAGACCUGUAUGAAUGGUGGAACGAGGGCUUAACUGUCUCCCUCCCCUAGUCAAUGAAAUUGAUCUAUCCGUGCAGAAGCGGGUAUAAAAUACAAGACGAGAAGACCCUUUGGAGCUUAAGACAAAAGACCCACUAUGUUAAAAAUCCUAAAAAAGGAUACUAAACCAAAUAAUACUGGUCCCAGUCUUCGGUUGGGGUGACCACGGGAGAAAAUAAAGCUCCCAUGUGGACAGGGGUAACCCCCUAAAACUAAGAGAUACAUCUCUAAGGCACAGAAUAUCUGACCAUAAAGAUCCGGCUAUAUGCCGACCAACGGACCAAGUUACCCUAGGGAUAACAGCGCAAUCCCCUUCCAGAGUCCAUAUCGACAAGGGGGUUUACGACCUCGAUGUUGGAUCAGGACAUCCUAAUGGUG